rnacentral:rRNA from 1 species
UGCAAGUCGAACGAACUCUGGUAUUGAUUGGUGCUUGCAUCAUGAUUUACAUUUGAGUGAGUGGCGAACUGGUGAGUAACACGUGGGAAACCUGCCCAGAAGCGGGGGAUAACACCUGGAAACAGAUGCUAAUACCGCAUAACAACUUGGACCGCAUGGUCCGAGCUUGAAAGAUGGCUUCGGCUAUCACUUUUGGAUGGUCCCGCGGCGUAUUAGCUAGAUGGUGGGGUAACGGCUCACCAUGGCAAUGAUACGUAGCCGACCUGAGAGGGUAAUCGGCCACAUUGGGACUGAGACACGGCCCAAACUCCUACGGGAGGCAGCAGUAGGGAAUCUUCCACAAUGGACGAAAGUCUGAUGGAGCAACGCCGCGUGAGUGAAGAAGGGUUUCGGCUCGUAAAACUCUGUUGUUAAAGAAGAACAUAUCUGAGAGUAACUGUUCAGGUAUUGACGGUAUUUAAC